rnacentral:rRNA from 1 species
GAUGACGAGGUUGAUAGGUCCGAGGUGGAAGCGUGGCGACACGUGGAGCUGACGGAUACUAAUCGAUCGAGGACUUAACCAA